CUGGCCCCGGACCUGAGCUAAAAGGACCUCUCUUAGAAGUGGAAUGUUUCCUUGGCUGGUUCAAUCCUUGGCCUUGCUAGUGAGACUACCAACAAGAGUGACAAGAAGCUGUUCUACUUCGAAGGAGAAGAUGAACAAGAGACAGAAGAGGAUAUUUCUAAUGGUCAAAACCAACUUCAAACCAAAAGGCUGCUUUGGAGGUCUGAAAAAGAAUAAAUGUGUCUGAAAAGAAAAACACUAUGUCUGCCCAGCCAUGAAAUUUCUGAACUAGGUGGGAGAUCCUGCUUAGUGCACUUUGAUUGAAGAACGUAUGGUUUACCAAAUAGGAUACAUGUGAAACAACAGAGAAGAAAAGGGAGGAUGCAACACAUGCAGUUAUGAGUUAUAAUGCUAUGUUUAGUCUUUCCUGCCUGAUGUAGAGGGUUGGACUGGAUGAUCAAACCUAUCAUCUAUAAUUCUAGGGAAGAGAUUUUGACAACCUAGAAACCACAAGAGUAAAGCUUAACUGAUUUGUAAUAUCAUUAGUAUCCCCCAAACAUGCAUAGAUUUUAAUUUAUUCAUGUAUUAAUUAUUUACCUGCAU